UGAGGAAUAUUCGGCAAUGGGCGCAAGCCUGACCGAGCGACGCCGCGUGAGUGACGAAGCCUCUAGGGGUGUAAAGCUCUUUUGUUGGGGACGAAUGCCUACUACGGUAGGAGGGACGGUACCCGACGAAUAAGGACCGGCUAACUCCGUGCCAGCAGCCGCGGUGAUACGGGGGGUCCAAGCGUUGUCCGGAUUUACUGGGCGUAAAGGGCGCGUAGGCGGGACGAUCAGUCAGAGGUGAAAUGUGCGGGCUUAACCUGCAGAUUGCCUUUGAUACUGUCGUUCUUGAGUGAAGAAGGGGAAAGCGGAAUACCUGGUGUAGCGGUGGAAUGCGCAGAUAUCAGGUAGAACACCGGUGGCGAAGGCGGCUUUCUGGUCUUACACUGACGCUGAGGCGCGAAAGCGUGGGGAGCAAACAGG
rnacentral:rRNA from 1 species